rnacentral:lncRNA from 1 species
GUUGGUCGUCUCUGGGCCUUGAGGGCGUCGGGCCGAUGGCGCGCGUGCAGGUGCGCCUGUGUUUUCCGUUUGAUUCUUUGGCGUCAGAGGGUCGGCGCGGUCGAGGGCGCGACAAAGGCAGAUGGAUUUCAUGCGGCGGUCGAAAGGUCGGCGGUGGGUAUCGUGGGCGUGCGACGACAGACAACCGGUACGGGGCGACGGACAUCCGAAGAGAAAGAGGCGCCAUUAACGGACGGGCGAGCAAGAAUGGAGAGAUGGGGCGAAAGAGGUCGGAGCAAUGAGGCGGGAGAGGGAGGGCGUCGGUCGCGCGCGCACUCGUGCCAAUAACAACAACGACGACGACGACGGCAUCGGGGUGGUCACGAGAGAGGGUCAGAGAACAAGCCCCCAAGCGCCAAGAAUGCGACGACAACGACAACGCGCGUUGGGUGUGCGCGGCAAUGGUCGCCGAUUUGCACGAGGAGCCUUGGCGUGGUCUGUGGUGGCGCAGACGUGCCCCUUGUGUGUGUCGGUCGACGACAAAGGUCGUCGUCUGCAAGGUCGGCGGCGGCGGCGAGUUUGGGUGGCGCGUCAAGGGCAUCGUCGGCGCCGUCGUCUCUCUUUUUGCAGACAUCGAGGUCCGGCGUCGUCUCUAUCGUCGUGGUUGCCGUCGUCUCUAUCGUGGUGGUGGUCAUGACAGUCGGCAUGAGGUGCGGUGGGCGGCACGGGGCGCCUUUUUCUGGGUGCCUUGGUGUCGUCCUCGGCGGCGUGGUCAAAGGCGACGGCGACGAGGAGGAGGAGGGUCCUUUUGUUUUUUUUUGAAAAAAGGAGAGGGUUGGACCAAAUGGCGGCCGUGGUCAAGGACGACCGAGGAAAAAAAAGAGGACCACAAAGGCGGCGGCGGCGACGACGACAAAGACGAGGACGACAGAGACGACGGGAGGGAGGGGGGAGUGGACGGACGGACGGACGGACGACGCCAGACAGACGGACGGGUAGACGGCGUGGGAAAGGAAAAAAAAAGAGAGACGGUCAAUCGAUCAGUCGCCGCGAAGCGGUCUCAAAGAAAAAAAAUUUUGGGGGUGUUUUUUUGGUGCGUGAGCAGCGCAAAGAGGCGACGCAAGCCGUCGGACGGGGCGGAUGGGCGGCUGAGGGCACCGACGCCGCUGACGGCAAAUGGAGG